AUAGGAAAUCGCUUCAGCCCUUUUCCCUCGACUCACGCGACCUCUCCCAAAAUAUCUGUCUCAUUGCCGCCGCCGCCGCCUCGCCCCAUCGACCCAUUGUUUGCUUCGUCCUCCUGCGCCGGCCAAGCAGACUCCACAUCCAAUCACCCACGCCUCCUCUCGACCCAGGCACAUCGCCUCCUUCCCUCACCCCUGCCGCCUCUAUGCCACUCCUAACCCUUUCUCUUCUCAAUCCGGCUCCAUGGAGGUGGCCGGCAGGGAGGACGAGGAUGUGGAGGAGGGCGCUGCCAAUGGUGCCAGAAGCAGCUCGAUAAGAACCACCGUCAUGCGGAGGCAAGUCGCCAUCGACACGGCCUCUUCGUCUGCACCGUCAAGGGCCAACAGCUCCAGAUCCGGGAGCAUCUUCCCGGAGGCGGAGCCGGCGACUCCUGAUGCACCUGGUGAUGGCCGGGGUAGUGAUCCAGUCGACCUUCUUGAUGUUGGCUUCCUCACUAUGCUGCAACCUCCUCCUCCGCAGGUGGACGAGUGCUACGAGCCGGCAGUUCCUGAAAUUUUUCUUGCAACCGGUUGAGGUUUUUCUCUGACCAUUUCUCCGAGAUUCCGGUUUUUUACACUGUUCAUUUGUUUGUGAAAAGAGAGGUGGGAAAGGAAGUGCUGGACUAGCUGUUGCGAUGGGGAUUAAUUCAAAAGAUUAGAGGAGAUAAGUUAGCAAAGAUUUAGGUGAUGUUCCUGCUGCUAAUGUGUAUGCGGCUGAAAAGUCAAAAGGUAGAAGAGAAAAUUUUGCUGCUAAUGAAUAUACAAAGAGAGAGGGUUGAUGUUGCUAUUUUGUUCCCUAUUUAUAUUGGUCGCUCUAUAGGAUUCUUAUCGCAUUUUCUUGAUCUGGGGUGAUUUUGUGUCCUUUUAACUGAUGCAUAUCGUGUGUGGGUUCUGUGGGGAUUCCACCAUUAGCAGAAAGAUCAAGGCAAUGUGAUAACUUUUAUGAGGCCAUAUUUUGUGUCUAAAUCUGCAGAGUUAUAUGAUGUGUAAAUUGGCAGUGUUGCUGAAUGGAAGGAGGUCACCAUUGUAUUCGACCUGGGAAGCUACAUACAGAUUUUCAUCUAUGAUAUUUCAGCAUCUUCUAUGCUUCCAAUCUGUUAAUUUAAUUUUACUUAUAAACGGCACAACCUUCCCUUCUCCUUUUUCGUGUGUAGAAUGAUGAUUGAUGUAGUUUCACUGAAUCAAAAUAUUGAUGCCUUUUCCCUUCUCCUUGACAGCUUUGCGAGAGCUAGGAAAGUAAUGGUGGACUCUCAUGAAGAACAGAGACAGAUAAUGUUUGAGAGGUUCUCCUUCGUGAGCUACGUCAGCGCUCAGAAGGCAUACAUUGAAGCCCUUGACGGCUGGUUGUCCAAGUUUAUCCUAACAGACACCAUUUGUUACUCCCGGGGGAUAUCCUUGAUUGCGCCCGACAGGGCCGGCACACCGCCCCUGGUGGUGAUCACGAGUGGCACACCAUGCUGUCGACGACUGGAUCGAUCCUCCGCACUAGUGAGUCUGGCAUAGGACUUGGCGAUGGGGAGAGGUUGUUCAGCGCUACGGAGAGCUGGUGCCAAAAACUAACUGUUGAUGUGGAAUUAGAUUUAUUAAAUAAUUAUCAGUUUGACUUAUUCGCUUGUAUUCAAACUGUACUGCAUUUUUGUUUGAGUACUGUUUUUUUCAUGUUCAUGAUAGUUCUAAUAUACUGUGCUUCUC